rnacentral:rRNA from 1 species
CCCUUAGAUGUUCUGGGCCGCACGCGCGCUACACUGAUGCAUUCAACGAGUAAUCUUUGACCUUGGUCGACAGAUCUGGGUAAUCUUUUGAAAUUGCAUCGUGAUGGGGCUUGCGGGUUGCAAUUACCCGCACCAACGAGGAAUUCCUAGUAAACGCAAGUCAUCAACUUGCAUUGAUUACGUCCCUGCCCUUUGUACACACCGCCCGUCGCUCCUACCGAUUGAAUGCUCAGGUGAGCCAUUCGGACUUUCAUCAUGCUGGUUUCCAGUUUUGAUGAAGGAAAGUCUUGCGAACCUUAUCAUUUAGAGGAAGGAGAAGUCGUAACA